UCCACUCAAAAUCAAGUUCAGGUCUCGAACUGAAAAUGAGUGGUUUUCUGAACUUGAUUAUGAGUGGAUUUUUCACUCAAACGACAGUUCAAAAGCUGAACUGGCGUUUGAGUAGUUUGGACUUGGCGAAGAAAUGGUCAGCAGCAGUCAGCUUUUUUUCUAAGUCGAGUCUUUCAAGUUUUGCGGCUAAGUCCAGUUCGUAACAGGAUAUAUGGAACUGGUUCCCGGAACACAACGGGGACGGUCGGAACUGGUUCGCGGGACGGACAUGGGGGAAGGGGUUAUGUUUUAUCCUCCCCACUCGGUGGUGUUCAAACGGCUGAAGAAACAGCCCAAGAUGACGGAGUGCCGCACCGUCCAGGAGGCGUUU